GUCCGAGUGCUGGAAUUGGUAGACAGGAUAAAUUUAAAAUUUAUUGGUUGAGAUACCAUAAACGUUCAAGUCGUUUUUCGGAUA
rnacentral:tRNA from 1 species